ensembl:lncRNA
GGGGGUUAUGGCAGUAGUCUAGUGUGAGGGGUUAUGGCAGUAGUCUAGGGGUUAUGGCAGGGGAACAGUGUUACAGUAGUCUAGUGUGAGAGGUUAUGGCAGGGGAACAGUGUUACAGUAGUCUAGUGUGAGGGGUUAUGGCAGGGAAACAGUGUUACAGUAGUCUAGUGUGAGGGGUUAUAGCAGGGGAACAGUGUUACAGUAGUCUAGUGUGUGUUUUGGGAAUAAUGACAAGCGAACCUGGGAAGUUUUGUGUUCACAUUGGCCUGAAAAAGGAAACCGGACCCUGG